rnacentral:rRNA from 1 species
UACAGAGACUGCACGCGUUAUUCGGAUUCACUGGGCGUAAAGGGUGCGCAGGCGGUUUUGUGUGUCCGAUGUGAAAUCCCGAGGCUUAACCUCGGAACUGCGUCUGAAACUACUCGACUAGAGUACUGGAGAGGGAAACGGAAUUCACGGUGUAGCAGUGAAAUGCGUAGAUAUCGUGAGGAACACCAGAGGCGAAGGCGGUUUCCUGGACAGUUACUGACGCUCAGGCACGAAAGCAUGGGGAGCAAAAGGG